rnacentral:lncRNA from 1 species
AAUAGGCCUGUAUUUGUGGACUGGCUCUCCUGGAGGCAGGAGGACCACACACAGCUAUGAUCCUGCCGAAGGAGUCAUGUAAAUGUGUGUGCCUUGGGCAGCUAUCAGGCUGUCCUGGGCUGGUCUCCCUUCUCCAAGGAGGACUUCAGGAGGAAGAUAUCUAUUUGUUGCUCCAUUCAAAAGACACUCAGCAGACCUCAUUGACUUAACACUUUGGCAGCAUUUGACACUCCCGACCUUGUCUCCUUCCCUGAAUGCUCUGGCUUAGACUCUACAGAAAGCACCAUUUGUGAGCUGAUCAGUGAGAAAACUGUUAAUGGUUUGCAGAGAUGAUCACAUGAACUUGAAAUAAUAACCAUUUUUGACAGUCUGGCCAAAUGGUUUCUAUCUUCUAAAUUUAAUAGUAAAUAUUGGC